rnacentral:rRNA from 1 species
UACGUAGGGUGCAAGCGUUGCCCGGAUUUAUUGGGCGUAAAGGGCGCGUAGGCGGCUCGGUAAGGUUGCGGUGAAAGCCCGGGGCUCAACCCCGGGUCGGCCGUGGCAACUGCUGAGCUAGAGCACUGUAGAGGCAGGUGGAAUUCCGGGUGUAGCGGUGGAAUGCGUAGAGAUCCGGAAGAACACCGGUGGCGAAGGCGGCCUGCUGGGCAGUGGCUGACGCUGAUGCGCGACAGCGUGGGGAGCAAACAGG